AGUCCAGGAGAUCAUAUAGAGUGACCAGGCAGACGCAUGAUCAAGGAGAAUCGAAGCGAAUUACCGCUAAUCGUCAAACUGACAUAGGAAAAUCAAGAAGAAGGCAGAAAGAGUGAAAAUGGGAUAAAAGAUCCUUUUGCAAGGGCACAACCGACAUUUCAAAGGAGGAUGCCCUGGGGAUCAGAGUCUCAAGCCUCACUAUAUAAAGGGAUGGAGAUUGAAGAAUGAGGCAGCUCUCCUUCUUAGCUCAAGUCUCUCGCGCUCAUUUUCACUUCAUAUUUCUUAAUGCCUACCAAACUUGUAAAGUGUCUUAUACUCUCUCCAUCUCAGUCUCAGUCUAAGUGACAAAUUUUUUUAUUUUUUGAGAUGUCCACUUUAAAUAUAAAAACAUCACUCUAUCUUACUUUAUUCACUUUACUGAAUUAUAAAAUAACACUAUAUAAAAUUCCGUGGUGAAUUAGAAAUACUCCACUUGUAGUAGGACGGAGAGAGUAAUAAGAAAUUGAAUAGUCUUUUCGCAAUGAUAUAAAAAUAGUCCGUAUCUGAUUUUUCGUAAACCACGACUUUUAGGGAUCUCAUAGUAAUAUAAAAUGAGUUUUUAAAAAUUGGAAUAAGUGGCAAUUAUUAUACAGCUGUCGGUUGUGGGUGUGAUUCAUCUGAAUUAACAAAUUAUCUCAUCUCUCUCUCUCUAUAUCUAUAUCUAAGUUAGAGAAGAGAGGGGAGAGGAGAAGUGAGAAAUUGAAAUCAUGUCGGGUAGAUGCGAACUCUUCUGUGCAAUCGUGCUCGCCAUCUUGAUCCCACCUCUCGGUGUUUGCCUCCGUCAUGGCUGCUGCACCACUGAGUUCUUCAUUUGCUUGCUUUUGACUAUAUUGGGAUAUAUUCCUGGAAUCAUCUACGCUCUCUACGCUAUUAUCUUCAUCGAUCAAGACCGAUUCCGUCGCGAUUACUAUCAGCAGCUUGAGUAGAUUGCUGUGUUUCUCCUGACAACGUGUUAUCAUGUCGAUGUUAUGUUUUGAGAUUUGAUUUUGUAAUUGCUCAUCUCUCUUCUAGAUCAUCUGUAUUACUGCUCUGCUGUUAAUGGAUGAAACUAGGGCUUUCUUUCC